ACACCAUCAGCCCCAAGGCGAAAGAACGCAAGCUGGCAGCAUCAACCCAGGGCAGCCAGGAGCCAGGGAGGUGGCUGGAGCUCCCGCAGCCGACGGCCAGCACCGCGGAAGGGGACACUGAGCCCGCGAGCCGGGGCCUGCGCAGCUGCCUGAAGGCCUUGCGGGGCAGGAUCCAGAGCUGCCUGAGCAGAACGUUUCACCGCCGGCCCGCCUGGACCCGCCACCUCUUCCAGAAGCGCGUGUCCCCACAGCAAGCGGUGGACAUCAGUGCAGACGAUGACGACCCCGUCACGCCAGAAGACACAACCUUGUGUAUACCGUGUAUGCGUGGCCGAAGAGGCAAGAUAAGACCCUCCUGAGCAGUCAUCAUGGGACCCUCUUCUGCCAGCGCCCCUCUCCUUGCUGCUCCUCCUGCAUCCGCUUCUCCCAGAGCCUGGAGAGAACACAUGGCCUGUCUCCACAAACCACCGUGCAGUCUGAGGGGACGUCCUGUCAACUCGGACCCACCCUGUAUUCUCACAUGAAGUUCUGUCUCCAUAGACCCACAGUGUGGUUUGAGACCCACCAUGCAGUCCAAGCUGAUGUCCUGUCACGACAGACGACCCUCCUGCAGUGUCCCGCGAUGUCCUGUCUCUAGAGGGCCACCAGGCAGUCCUAUGUGAGGUCCUGUCUCCACAAACCCACCCUGCAGUAUUACAUGAGACCCACCAUGCAGUCUGACAUGAUAUCCUGUCUCCAAAGACCACGCCCCCGCUGCAGUGUCACGUGAUGUCCUGUCUCUAGAGAACCUCCAGGCAGUCCGAUGUGAGGUCCUGUCACCACAAACCCACCCUGCAGUAUUACAUGAGAUCCACCCUGCAGUGGGACAUAUUGUCCUGUCUCUAGAGACUAACCAGGCAAUCGGAUGUGAGGUCCUGUCUCCAUAGACCCACCUUGCAGUAUUACAUGAGGUAAUGUCUCCAGACGCACCAUGCCGUGCGACAAGAGGUUCUGUCUCCACCCACCCACCGUGCAGUCCGAUGUGACAUCCUGUCUUCAGAGACCCACUGUGCAGUCUGAGGUGACAUCCUGUCUCCACAGACCCAUAGUGCACUAUGAUACCUACCCUGCAGUCUGAGGUGAUGUCCUUCCUCCAAAGACCCACCUUGCAGUAUGACGUGAUGUACUGUCUCCAGAGAUCCACAGUGCAGUCCGAAGUGAUGUCCUGUCUCCACAGACCCACCAUGCAGUCUGAGUAGACGUACUGUGUCUGUAGACGCAACAUGCAUUCUUAGAAUAGAGGGUUUGUAUAUGCAGACCCACCAUGCAGUACUGACGUCCAGUUUCCCCAGACCCACCAAGCAGUCUGCCAUGACUGUACCCAUGAAAAGUCACAUGCAAAGUUGCUCAUGCAACUGGAGUUUGU